rnacentral:rRNA from 1 species
AUUGAACGCUGGCGGCAGGCCUAACACAUGCAAGUCGAACGAGUGGCGGACGGGUGAGGAAUGGAUGGGAAACUGCCUGAUGGAGGGGGAUAACGACUGGAAACGGUAGCUAAUACCGCAUACAAUUAGACGUGCCCAGAUGGGGUUAGCUAGUAGGUGGGGUAACGGCCCACCAAGGCGACGAUCCCUAGCUGGUCUGAGAGGAUGACCAGCCACACUGGAACUGAGACACGGUCCAGACUCCUACGGGAGGCAGCAGUGGGGAAUAUUGCACAAUGGGCGCAAGCCUGAUCCAGCCAUGCCGCGUGUAUGAAGAAGGCCUUCGGGUUGUAAAGUACUUUCAGCGGGGAGGCGUUACCCGCAGAAGAAGCACCGGCUAACUCCGUGCCAGCAGCCGCGGUAAUAC